rnacentral:rRNA from 1 species
AGUGAACGCUGGCGGGACGCCUCACACAUGCAAGUCGAACGGCAGCAGACUGAGAGCUGGCUCUUACGGGUGCCUAGUUGCGGACGGGGGAGGAAGGCAUCGCACGGUACCUGGUACUGGGGUAUAACGUGGGGUAACUUCGCCUUAGACCGCAUGCGACCAACGGGUGAACGCACUGGAACUUCGGGCCUCGCGCGUGUGAAUGGGCCGAUGUCUGAUUAGUUAGUUGGUGGGGUAAAGGCCUACCAAGUCGACGAUCCGUAACUGGUCGGAGAGGAUGACACGCCCAACUGGAAAUGAGACGAGGCCAAGACUCCCACGGGAGGCAGCCGUGGGGAAUAGUGGACAAUGGGCGCAAGCCUGAUCCAGCGAUGCCGCGUGAGCGAAGAAGGCCUUCGGGUUGUAAACCAGUUUUGGGGGGAAGGAAAAGCAGCUGGCUAACACCUCGAGGUUCUGACGGUACCAGAAGAAGAAGCACCGGCUAACUACGUG